rnacentral:rRNA from 1 species
UACAGAGGCCACGAGCGUUAGGCGGAAUCACUGGGCUUAAAGCGUGUGUAGGUGGAUCGGUAAGUACCUUGUGAAAUCCCACGACUCAAUCGUGGAACUGCUUGGUAUACUGCCAGUCUUGAGGCACUCAGGGGCGAGCGGAACAGAUGGUGGAGCGGUGAAAUGCGUAGAUAUCAUCUGGAACGCCAAUGGUGAAGACAGCUCGCUGGGGGGUGUUCUGACACUGAGACACGAAAGCCAGGGGAGCAAACGGGG